UGUUUCACCUCUUACUCAAUACCUGUCAGCUCUGUAGGACGGUGACUGCCUUUCACUGUUUGCAGUGUCCAGCCCAAAGGGGCGGUGGCCUCAUUUGGGGUGAUUCCAUGCACCAUUAUAAACACAGGUAACACACGGGCAUGGCAAUAAAUUGUUUAUCUACCAGCUCCAGUUAUUAUAUCUGGAUUUAGCACACCAGAUUUCUUACCACAAUGCCUUUGGAAGCGUUAUAAAUUGGCAUUUGCUACUUCUCUUACACGGCCGGUUUAAGGAUAAGAGCAACAUCCCCAGAACUUUGAGCAGACCAUUUCUGUAAGGUUUUUGUUUGUGCUCAUUAAGGUGAAGAGUAGUGAUAAAGCAGGACUGAUAGUCCUAUUUUCUCUGUUACUAGUGACUAGAGUUUGCACCAUCCAGGUCAGAUGUAACGGGGAAACUAAGAAAAUCUGACACGAUCAUUGAUUUGCUCUCUUUGUACUCAUGUCAUCUGUACACACUAGAGAGAAAGAAAUGUGACUUAAAAAUUGCAAUUAACCAGCUUUACAGCAGGUUCCUUUCAUUGGGUAUUUAUUCCCAUCAAAUCUCAUUUCAUCCUUAAAGGAAAGUUCAUUCCUAGUUUUGAUUUAAACCAGAUAAUGCAAAAUAUUUUGUAUUCCUGCAUAAAAAGUGUUGCUUUAAAUGAUGAAUGCUAUAUUCCUAAAUAUUCUCUUAUAGUUUCCCACAGAUUUUGGUCAGGUCUUGAAAGAAUGGCAAUUUUUCUAAUGUUUUAAAAGUAUUAACUUCCUUUCAAACAUUCUUUAACCUUUAAUGUUUUGUAACUUGAUGAAAAGGUCACUUUGUUCGGAGUGGAUGCAUCUGCUCCAUAAUUGUUCAGAUAUCAGGCAGAGUUCCAUCUGAACUCCAGAUUCUUUUAUGGGGAUUUUUUUUUAUAUACUAUUGUUAAGGUUACCAUGAGGAAUUAUUUUAAAGGCAGAAACCUGUAGACCAAAGGAUGCUCACACUUUAUUUAAUUUCACCAGCUUCAGAUGUUUGGGGCUAUAUGCAGGAAAUGACAGUUGCCAAGCUUUGAAAAGAAUAAACCAAACAGUUUCACCUCCCUCCAUUUUAAGAACUCUUAGGCCGAGCAGGAAUACAUUAAAACAGCUGAAUCUUUAGUCCUAUGUACAUGAGUAAUAUAAAAAUACUAAAGUAAUUACACUUUGCACUUGUGUUGCUUAAAAAAAAAUCUUAAAACACUUCGCAAAGGGGGAGAUGGGGAAGUGGAGGCAAAGACAGAUUGAAUGACUUAACUAUGAGCACAGAGAGUCAAGAGAAGACCCUCACUGGAAAUGACUAGGAAAUGCUGUCUCUUAAGAAUCAGGCCCUGACUUUCCUAUCAUCAUAUUGCUUUAAAAAAAAUGUAAUUAUAUUUUAAAUUACUUUCUGUCACGGCACCAAGAGGUUUUCAGGCACAGGCACCUGUAAAUUAACAUUUAUUACUACUAAUAAUAAUAUUUUGAAUCUGUCUCUUUAGCUAGUUUUGAAAUAAAGGGCUUAUGCUCAUUCCCAUGCAAGAAGAUUAGCAUCAAUUGGAGUUACAUGUGUAAAUUCCUACACAUGGAAAUGAGAAUGCACCUCUAAGGUGCAGAUUCUGACCUAAGAUAGGUGGGUGCAUAUUACCAUGCAUCUUAUAUGAGGCACAGUGGUUGCUUUUGCAAGAAAAGUGGUGAUACCUGUCUGCAUAUCUGCGAUCAGAAUGAGAGCCCUAAAUUGAUACAAUUAAUCCCUCUAAAAUAGGAGAAAUUUUCUUAGUUUUAUACAAUUCAAACAUCCAGAGAAUAAGUUUAAUUAAAAUCUGGCUAUACAUUUUUUAAAGAUAAAAAAAACUAAAGAAAUGAGCUAAUUAUAUUGCUUAGUAUUCUGCUAUUUUUUUUUUUAAUAACAUGCUUUUGUAGCCAGGCCAGUCCCUUGAGAACCAGUUCCUCAUUUAUAAGGAGGUCUCCAGUGGGAGUUAAAAAGAGGCUCUCUUAUAAGGAGAAUAUAUUUUGAAAGAGGAGCCAUAUAAAGAUAACCCUGCAUUGCAUAUAUCAGUAUGGAGGCUCAAAUAUUCCAGUGAGGUUGUGAAGUGUGGAGAAAAGCACAAGCCCAAGUGCUUUGCUGCCCCCAAGUAGGGAUUUGGGACUAGCACACUCUUCUGGGGAACAAAGGAAUCCUGCAUCUUCUGGGUUUCACAACCACCACAACUACUCUGCUCUUCUCCCAGCAUACUUCUUUGUCCCAGUUGUCAUUUAUAAACAAACAAACAACAGUAAUACUUGAAGCAUGUCCUUCUCCACCCUCCUGACCUUUGGUUUCUAUUGCAGAUUUCCCCUGUGGUAUGUGUAACUUUUAUGCAAAUAUUAAGGAUUCACAUUUUCAGAAAACCUGAACUUCACUAACUUAAUAACAACACUGUUACAGCAAGGUUUGUUGUUUUUUUAUCUAAUUUACUUUCCCUACUGUUUAUGCUAAAGGGGAAUGUUGAUUUUUUUUUUAAUGUUUUUAAUUCUGUUUAUCUGGAAGUUUAAAAAAGCAGUCAUGGUGGUCUUACGUUUUGUAGAAGCUUGUUCAGAUAACUUAAAUCCAGAGCCAAAAUUGGUACCUUUUAAGCCCUGAAGCCAAAAUAAAUCUGGUGUUAUCUCCACUAGCUGGUGGAGUUGUACCCACUUAUACCAACAAUGAAUUUGAAGUCAAUAGAGUUACACCCUGGAUAAAUUCAGCCCUCUGGGUUCCAAUAAUAGAUAAUUCAACAUAGAAUAAUGCCUGCUAGAAACAGAAGCUGAUUGGCUUUGGCAAUCAAUAAGUAUUUUAACUUAACCCACCAGAAAAAUACCUAUCCACAUGUUUUUGUUAUAAAGUGAACACUGAUGUGGCUGAAUGCAAAAAUAGAUCUGGUUAAAAUCAUGACCAGGACUGGAUUAAAGUAAUUUGGGGCUAUAGAUGAAUUAUAUGACCCAGGGAACCAAUGCCCUUUUUCCAUUUAGACUUCUGUGAGAUCUUCUACCUUAGAAGCAUAGCCACUGCUAAGUCCCACCUUGGAGCUUCCCAUUCCCUACAGGAAGGAAGGAAUUAAAGCAAGGAUCCCCAGCAUAUUAGUAAGUGGAAUACAUCUUCUUGUAUGCGUGAGACAAGCCCAUUUGUACUCUUUUCCUUGUGCUACGCUGACUCCUCUACCGUGAUGGUGUCACCAGGACCUCUAGAACAGACCGUCUCAGAGCUAACGCCCAUUUUGACAUACAAGGCGCGUCUACAUGAGAUGCUUACUGUGCAGUAGCGGUACCACUGUGC